GCCAAUGUGGUGAAGUGGUUUGAAUGUUGGACUAGGAUUCUGGGAGUCCAGGGUUCAAAUCUCUGCUUGGUCA